GACGAACGCUGGCGGCGUGCUUAACACAUGCAAGUCGAACGGUGAAGCGCCUUCCUUUUUGGUGGGUGUGGAUGAGUGGCGAACGGGUGAGUAACACGUGAGUAACCUGCCCCCUUCUUCUGGAUAACCGCAUGAAAGUGUGGCUAAUACGGGAUAUUCUGGGUCUGUCGCAUGAUGGGUCUGGGAAAGAUAUUGUUUCGGUGGGGGAGGGGCUCGCGGCCUAUCAGCUUGUUGGUGGGGUGAUGGCCUACCAAGGCUGUGACGGGUAGCCGGCGUGAGAGGGUGGACGGUCACACUGGGACUGAGACACGGCCGAGACUCCUACGGGAGGCAGCAGUGGGGAAUAUUGCACAAUGGGCGCAAGCCUGCUGCAGCGACGCCGCGUGAGGGAUGGAGGCCUGCGGGUUGUGAACCUCUUUCGCCAGUGAAGCAGGCCUGCCUCGUUUGUGGGUGGGUUGACGGUAGCUGGAUAAGAAGCGCCGGCUAACUACGUG
rnacentral:rRNA from 1 species